AUGAUCUCCGUUUUCAAUUUUCCCUUGUAUGCAAAAUCAAAUCCAAAUUGGGAAUUGCUAGAUCCAUUCCAUUUGUAUGUUUCCUUUUUCCCUUCAUAUUUUCCAUGUUGUUGGUGCUCCAGACCUAUCAUUUUCGAGGUCAUUUAAACCACAAAAAUCACUCAAAUCGGAAAUUAUUUAACCAUUCGGUCAAUAGUGUGCUAAUUUA
rnacentral:lncRNA from 1 species